rnacentral:lncRNA from 1 species
GCCUGACCUGACCUAAACAUGGGUUGUGGUGGUGCGCUUAGGAGAUGGGGUUUCAGGAUGGGGUGGAGACUUCCUGGGAUUUGCCGCUAAUCAGGACAGCGGGCCAAGGCCUCCCUCUCCCUCCCCUCCCUCAGACCUUAUCUCAGCUUGUCCUCUGGCCAGGGUUCUGGGAGUGGGGGAUGGGUGCAGGCGUGAUGCCCUGGCUGGGGCAGGGGCAUGGGUGGGUCCCCAGGGCUUCCUAAGGGACUGAGCCAGCCCUUCCUCCUCAGGCCUCAGCCCCGCCCCCCCCCCACCAGCAACCCACUUACAAAGGCCCAGGAGGUCCAGCCAUGGCCAACCCCCAGGAGCCCAGGGGUGGGGGGUUGGAACCUGGCUGGACCUCCAGGGUCCUGGCUGCCCCUUGACCUGUUCCCAGUUGCCAGGGGACCGGUGGGUGUGACUAUGCCUGGGAGGCGCAGGUGAGGGGCCCUCCUGCUCCCACGCCUAGUCCUCACAGGUGAGGGAAAGAGGUACCCGUUAAAGCUGGACCCCACUUCCCACCCCGGUUCUGACCAGGACUGGCCAAGGCCUGGUCUGGCAAGGGACACCCUUGAGUGGACAUUGGUUCAAACUUUUUUUCCCAGCUCCAUUUAACUGAACCCCAGUGCCCUGUGUUCAGCUCCCUGUGUCCCACCCUCUCCGCCUCUGCCCCCACCCCAGUGCCAGGUGUGUGCCCUGUGACCUCCUCUGGCCUCUGCCCUGGCUCCUACCCAUCCUCCUAGUCCAGGUUGGAGCACUGAUUCUGGGGCCUUCCUGUGUUCCGGCAGCUGUGACUGUGGGCCAAGGGCCAGAGCCAAUGGCUCCCCAAGAUUGCAAAGGGGCUAGGUGUGUUUUUAGUGUGGACACCGGGCCAACGCCCCAGCUGCAGGAGCAGAGCCUGACGGGGACCCACCUUCGUGCCCUGGGGCUAUGUGCCCUUCCUCCAUCUGGACCUUCAAAUGCGGGCCCAGGAAUAGCCUGUGGGGAGGACUCACCCAGCAGGCGGGAGACCCUAAUGCCCAGCCCCGCAUUUCCUUGCCUGUGUGGCUUGCCGAGCAGGUCCUGCUGGCCUGGUGCCCCAAACCUAGAAGUCCAUGGCCAAAAGGGGUGUGUGUGGCACCCAAGGGGAGAGGACCUUCUGGGCCAGAGCCCUUGAGAAAUCUGAGGAAGGGUACUUCAAACCCAAGCUUUUCACAGCC